AGGCAGCAGGAAAAGAGGCAGAUCAAAUAUGAGAUGGGUUGACUUCUUAAAGGAAGCAGCAGGCUUGAGUUUGCAAGAGUGGAGCAGGGAUGAGGACAGGCCUUUGGAGAAAUAAUCAUUUAUACAGGAUUGCUAUAAAUCGGAAGCGAAUUGAUGGCACAUGACAACCCAGAGUCCAGUUCGCUUUGCUCAGAGCUUGGAAAAAACUUAUCUCUUCGAGACUACAACUCCCAUAAUUCCAUAUUCGGGCCGGCAAAUGGUUGGGCGGUAGGCCAGGAACCUCUUCCCUCCGCCUUCCUUUUGCAGCUUGGCCCUACUUCAGGGUGUCCUUAGGGGAGAUCAUUAAUCUGCAUUAAGUAAUCAUCACCAAGUCCCGUCCAGUCAGAUAGCUCUUUCUGUGCGCUUGCAAGGCGCUCUCGUUGGCUGCGGCUUCUGGAGGGAUCCGCUUCCAGGGAGGUCACUGGCUGGCCGGGACUUCACAGCAGCCGCCGAGCUUCGCCGUUUUAGGUUGCAAAGCAAAGAGGUCGACCGAAAGAUAGACAGCUCCGGGAAGGGAGCCAAGAAGGGAAGAGGGCGGGGCGGGGGCGGAGCCCGGGGCCCGUGUCCGAAGAGCGGAGCCCCGCCCCCAGGAGGCAAGUGGGCGUGGCAUGCGUGGCCGCGGGUGUCCGGGGGGGCCCGUCCCCGUGUCACUUUCCCAACCCCGUGAGAGAGAGAGAGAGAGAGGCUUUCCUGGGAUUCAGGUGGUAGCCGGAGUUGUAGUUCCUGCGACUUUCCUUCAGGACUCCUGGCGUUGCCCCUGGGAGAAGGGGGAGCCGAGGAGGGGCGGGAUGUCUUCCGUGCAGGUGCUUCUUUACCCCCCCAAGAUCCACCCGGCGUUCCCCAAAGAGGAGCUGACUCAGGGGAAGGCGACCUUGGAGACGCGCUACCGCCUGGGAGCCUUAAUCGGGAGCGGCGGCUUCGGCAGGGUGUAUGCAGGGACGCGGCUCAGCGAUUCUCUCCCGGUGAGCCCGGCUGUGGGCGCGGGUCCUUUUAAAAAAAAAACUUUAACCUUUGAGUGAGCAAGAUGUGAUGUGGUGGUUAGUUUGAGGGACUAGGACUCAGAAGACCUGGCUUGAAAUCCCCUUUCAGGCAUAGAAAUUCAGAGGGAGUGGGGAUUGGCGCUGGGAAAACCACUUCUUAAUGUCUCACCUUGGAAGCCCUAAUAGGGUCCCUGUAGGUGGGUUCUGACUUGACUGGAAAUAACAGUAGCAAGAAGCAAGUGCAUCCUUCGCUGUGGGUGGGAUUUAGGGAGCAGUAUCCGGGAGGGAUAAGGUGACGCUGCAGGUUAAAUUGCAGAAGCCUCUGUGCUGCAAGGUCAGAAGACCAGCAGUCGUAAGAUCGAAUCCACACGACGGGAGGCUUGUCCCAGCUCCUGCCAACCUAGUAGUUCGAAAGCAUGUAAAAAUGCGUGUAGAUAAAUAGGUAUGGCUAUGGCUUGGAAACGGGGAUGAGCACCACACCUGGAGUCUGACACGACUGGACUAAAUGUCAAGGUAACCUUUGCCUUUACCGAUCUCAGAGGGAAGCCAGACAAACCCAGGACAAGUUGAGACUCCUUCAGUUCAGAGUUUGUUCCGUCAAAGACACUGCAGGUCCUUUCACCAUAGGUGGGAGAGCCAAUGUGAUGCUGUGCUUAGAGUGUUCGUGUAGGACUUGGGGAAGCUUGCAUUCAAAUUCUCAUUCCCCCAUGAAGCUUACUGGGUAACUUUGGGAAUUGCAGUUCAAGCUACCCCAUAAAGUUGCUAUGUGGGUGAAGAAGGGAGAGAAGAACCCUAUAUUGCUCCAAUAAAAAUAAAUCUAUAAGCA
ensembl:lncRNA